rnacentral:rRNA from 1 species
CCUGGCUCAGGAUGAACGCUGGCGGCGUGCCUAAUACAUGCAAGUCGAACGCUUUGUGGUCCAACUGAUUUGAAGAGCUUGCUCAGAUAUGACGAUGGACAUUGCAAAGAGUGGCGAACGGGUGAGUAACACGUGGGAAACCUACCUCUUAGCAGGGGAUAACACUUGGAAACAAGUGCUAAUACCGUAUAACACUAAUAACCGCAUGGUUAUUAGUUAAAAGAUGGUCUUGCUAUCACUAAGAGAUGGUCCCGCGGUGUAUUAGCUAGUUGGUAAGGUAAUGGCUUACCAAGGCAAUGAUACAUAGCCGAGUUGAGAGACUGAUCGGCCACAAUGGGACUGAGACACGGCCCAUACUCCUACGGGAGGCAGCAGUAGGGAAUCUUCCACAAUGGACGAAAGUCUGAUGGAGCAACGCCGCGUGUGUGAUGAAGGGUUUCGGCUCGUAAAACACUGUUGUAAGAGAAGAAUGACAUUGAGAGUAACUG